rnacentral:rRNA from 1 species
ACACAGGUGGUCGGGUAGAGAAUACCAAGGCGCUUGAGAGAACUCGGGUGAAGGAACUAGGCAAAAUGGUACCGUAACUUCGGGAGAAGGUACGCUCUCGACGGUGAAGUCCCUCGCGGAUGGAGCUGACGAGAGUCGCAGAUACCAGGUGGCUGCAACUGUUUAUUAAAAACACAGCACUGUGCAAAAUCGUAAGAUGACGUAUACGGUGUGACGCCUGCCCGGUGCC